CUCUGGGUAGCUCAGUUGGAAGAGCGUCAGACUGUAAUUGGAUCAUGCAAAAUCAUCUGAAUGUCACUGGUUCGAACCCGGUCCCGGAGA